rnacentral:lncRNA from 1 species
UCGCCGUUUCAGAAUCUAAUGCAUCCUGGGUAAUAUUUUCAAAAGUGUACACCAAAACGUCGUGAUUGGUUAAAAAUGUCAUAAACAAUGGAAAUUCAACCAAUGACGUGACGUUAUUUUCAUUUUGGGGUACAAACAAUGAAAUUACCCAUGAUUCUUUAGAUUCUGAAACGGCCAAUUCCCUAAUAUGCUACAAAUGUUAAUUGCUGUAAUGUUAAACUAUCUUCUGUGUUUUUUGGACAACUUGAUAUAUUAUAUUUCUUAUUAAUAAACACAAUUUGUCAAUAUUUUAUGCUCAGAAGCCAAAAAACAAUAUUUAAAUAUAUUUGAAGGCCCCCUUGAUGGUUUUGUAGGAGUAUAGGAUCCAUCUUGCAUGUAAAACCCCCGUGGGCAUUUUGAAAAGUUGGCAGGUAUGUAUAAAUGGUAAAUUUCAUUAGCGAAUAUGAAUUUGUAAGACUCGUCUAAUCUGGGAACUGUUCCUGGUCCAAUUAAUGCCAAUGUGACAAUGGCUCCAACCCAUUCCUUGGUGCAAGCUAACAUAACAGUACCCAAAUUGCACCUCUUUAGCAAAAAUAGCAGUGGAAAUCUCACAAGAUUUCUGUAAGAUUUCCUAGAGACUAAACAACUGGUAUUUUUAUGAUUUGAUACUAUGCACAUCUUUCAACAUAGGUAAACAUAUUUAGAUAUGCACAAAACGUUCACAGUUUUUACAACAGAUGAAGUGUUUACUGAAAAAGCAAAAUGUACCGAAACAUCGC